ACGAACUGCAGAACCUCGUGAAUCAUCAAAAUUUUGAACGCACAUUGCGCUUUUGGGUCAUGCCCAAGAGCAUGCUUAUCCGAGUGUCCCUAA
rnacentral:rRNA from 1 species